rnacentral:rRNA from 1 species
GAAAUACAGCCGCUCAACGGUUGAGGUGCCAUUGAUACUGUAGAGCUUGAAACAAGUGGAGGCUGCCGGAAUGGAUGGUGUAGCGGUGAAAUGCAUAGAUAUCAUCCAGAACACCGAUUGCGAAGGCAGGUGGCUACGUUUGAUUUGACACUGAGGCACGAAAGCAUGGGGAGCAAACAGGAUUAGAAACCCCUGUAGUCC